AACGAACGCUGGCGGCAGGCCUAACACAUGCAAGUCGAACGAGAAGCCACCUUCGGGUGGUGGACAGUGGCAGACGGGUGAGUAACGCGUGGGAACGUGCCUUUCGGUUCGGGAUAACCCAGGGAAACUUGGGCUAAUACCGGAUACGCCCUCCGGGGGAAAGAUUCAUUGCCGAAAGAUCGGCCCGCGUCGGAUUAGCUAGUUGGGGGGGUAAAAGCCUACCAAGGCGACGAUCCGUAGCUGGUCUGAGAGGAUGACCAGCCACACUGGGACUGAGACACGGCCCAGACUCCUACGGGAGGCAGCAGUGGGGAAUAUUGGACAAUGGGCGAAAGCCUGAUCCAGCCAUGCCGCGUGGGUGAAGAAGGCCUUAGGGUUGUAAACCCCUUUCAGCGGGGAAGAUAAUGACGGUACCCGCAGAAGAAGUCCCGGCUAACUCCGUGCCAGCCGCCGCAGUAA
rnacentral:rRNA from 1 species